GACGAACGCUGGCGGCGUGCUUAACACAUGCAAGUCGAACGGAAAGGCCCUGCUUUUGUGGGGUGCUCGAGUGGCGAACGGGUGAGUAACACGUGAGUAACCUGCCCUUGACUAUGGGAUAACUUCAGGAAACUGGGGCUAAUACCGGAUAGGAGCUCCUGCUGCAUGGUGGGGGUUGGAAAGUUUCGGCGGUUGGGGAUGGACUCGCGCCUUAUCAGCUUGUUGGUGGGGUAGUGGCUUACCAAGGCUUUGACGGGUAGCCGGCCUGGGAGGGUGACCGGCCACAUUGGGACUGAGAUACGGCCCAGACUCCUACGGGAGGCAGCAGUGGAGAAUAGUGCACAAGGGGCGGAAGCCUGAUGCAGCAACGCCGCGUGCGGGAUGACGGCCUUCGGGUUGUAAUCCGCUUUCGCCUGUGACGAAGCGUGAGUGACGGUAAUGGGUAAAGAAGCACCGGCUAACUACGUG
rnacentral:rRNA from 1 species